rnacentral:rRNA from 1 species
GCAAGUCGAACGGCAGCACGAAGAGCUUGCUCUUUGGUGGCGAGUGGCGGACGGGUGAUUAACACUUAGGAAUCUAUCCAGUAGCUGGGGAUAACCCGGAGAAAUCCGGGCUAAUACCGAAUACGCACUAUGGUGGAAAGAGGGGGAUCUUUCGGGACCUCUCACUAUUGGGUGAGCCUGAGCCGGAUUAGCUGGUUGGUGGGGUAAUGGCCUACCAAGGCGACGAUCCGUAGCUGGUCUGAGAGGACGAUC